rnacentral:lncRNA from 1 species
UUAUAGCAGUGGGACCAUGAGGCCGCCCUGCUGUGAAUUCGUUUCCAGUCCAGCCAGCUCAGACAACACUCAGAUGGAUUAACGGACCUUGCUAGACUCCGACUGCCUCGCCUCGCCUCACUGAGCACAGCCCCAGGCUUCAGUGGCUGCACGUGCUUCUCCUUGGGCAUCACACACCACCUGGUAGGCAUGAGAUGUGUCAAUCACUGUUGGCAGGAAAGCCUGGGGAGCAGUGUUUUGGUCCUACCUAUUACUUCAAUGUAAGCUGAAUUUCUCUCACUUCUUAUUUUUUAAGGGAGCAAGUUUCACAUUUUUUUGUAGAACUGGCAUAACUCAAAUAGUGAAGUCCGUGGGGAAACAAAGCAACCACAACUCAAGAUAAUCCACUUGCACGAGAGGCUUCGGAUGGUGGUUUUGAUUUAACAAGUAGUGGUGGGAUAAUUGUGAGAACAUGCUGCUGGGAAAGAGCACCUGGUCUGGUCAGCCUGAUGUAGGAUCUGGACGGGGGAGCUCCCAAAUGGGGUAGCAGCUCCGCAUUUCUAAUCCGAGCCCAGAUGGAUCUCCUGCCGUGCAUAUGCGUUGUUGAGCAAACUGGUAAACUAACCUGAGAGUCUUGCCUGAAUGAUGAGCUGCACGUAUCAGCUUGAGCAGAACAUUAGCAAGAGCUGGCGUAGGCCUCCAACCUCACCGAGUUUCCUCUCUCUCCUGCCAGUGGACAUGACAGCUCAGGAUAAGGUGACUGGGAGACCACGGGAGCAAAUGUGACACAAGGCAGAAGGCUGUCUUGAGACCUUCCAGCUGGUUUGCAUUUCCUCAUGGGAUAGGAGCCUUCUCCUGCAGGCUGGGAAGGCAGUGGGACCACCAUACGAUUUUAUGGAUCAGUUUUCACUUUUCCAGAUGCAAAGAGAGGAGCCGUAAUUACCUUGCGUACGUUUUGAUAACAUCCCUUGGGCAAGAGGGUUCUGGGGGAGAUUUAUGCCCAUGGAUGGAAUUUGCAGUUCCCAUCAUGCUGGAAAUGCUGAGAUGCAAUUUUGAAACUGGACAAGCACUUGAGGAACACCUGGACAAUGCACUCAGUUGUGCAGGAUGGCUUGAAAUUCAUUACAUCUAG